rnacentral:lncRNA from 1 species
UUUCUGUGUUGGAGAUGCACGUUCAGGGUAGAGUCCUAGAGGUGGGAUUGCUGGGUAGAAAGGUAAGCACACUGUAGUUUUGUUAGUUUUGCCAGAUUUCCCUCCAGAAGGGUUGUGCCAGUUUGCGCCCUCGCGGGGAAUGCCAACAGAGAUUUGAAAAUGAACAUGGGGCCGACGUCUCCGCCUGAACCCGCUUAGACGCCCCUGCGUGGCCUGCAGUUACUGGAGAUUGACACUAGGUGGCAGGCAAGCCCCAUCACAGAGAAUCCAGAGACGCUGUGCUCAAGGCCCUGAUGACAAUACCGUGGAAGCUGAAGCGACGACAGUCACAGGGCUGUGUCACUAAUGGCAGCGAGCAUUCACAGCGUUAGUAGUAAGAGCAACAUUGUUUCUGUUAACAACAUCUGUUGUUUGGCUGUUUACUCAUUCACUCCAGUGUUCCUUGUUCCAGGCCCUGUUCUGGGUCCUGGGGAUGCGGAGAUGCAAAACAAACAUCUUGCCGGCAUGAAGCUGGUGUCCUGCUAGGGGAGAGACAGUCAACAAACACACAAGUCCGAUAUGAAGUCUGUCAGGCCGACACAGAUUUGUGUGACCAUCCCCACAGUCCAUUUGAAACAUCUUCAUCACCUCGAAAAGAAGCCCGUACGAGUUCGCGCUCACUCUCCAUCGCUGGCCCCGGCCCCUGCCAAUCGCCAAUCUACUUUGUGUCUCUAUGGAUUUGCCCCUUCUGGACAUUUCACAGAAAUGGAAUCGCACAAUAUUCAG